rnacentral:snRNA from 1 species
GGAUGUGAGGGUGACCUGGCUGUGACAUCAGUCACCCCAAUGAUUGCCAGCGUUGAUUCGGCUGAUCUGGCCGGCUAGGCGGGUGUCCCCUCCCUCCCUCACACUCCUUGUGCGUCCCUCAAAAGCUGCGUGCUGGGUCGAAGAGGACGGCCUUCCCCGAAUAGAGAUGGACCAGUCUUCCUUUGAGGGUGUCCCAGUAUCUGCGCUCCCCUGCUAUCCAAACAAGCUCUCAAGGUCCAAGAUACUGCAGAGAAGAUGAAUUCACCGUUCUUAAUAGCUGAGUAGUAUUCCACUGUGUAUCUAG